GGAGGAAGCGUAAGGGGAAGGGUGUGGAACAUGGUCAGGACCUGAAACUGUCUCCAUCUUCAACUGCAGGGGCCUGGCCAUCCCAAAAACAAAGGCAGGAAUGACAUCUGAGCAGCAAAGAAGCACAUCCAUUGAACAGACAAUAAAGCCCCGGGAAAAAGAUUUGAUAAUCACUGAAACCCUGUGGGAGCAGGUGCUAAUGGCCUUUAAAGGAAUACAAAAGGAGCUUCAAGAAGAUGCUCGGACUCGAGGCAUGAGCAACCGCACUGUGACAUUCAUACCACCUGUACUCCCCAGGACUGGGCAUGAACCUGCCUAAACCAAGAACUGGAAAAGAAGCUUCACGCCUCCAGAUCUCUCUACAUCCCAAAAUAAGAAUCACAGCUCAAAUUCUGGAGAGUAAUCAUCGGAAGCCCAUUCCUACACACCCAAGGAUACAACCCCGUGACCAGCCAGCCUUCUACCUAGACUCUAAACUUUGUCAUCAUGAAAUGUCUCCAGUGUUUCUUCCAGGGCCUGGCUCAGUUACCUGAUACUCAAAGGCUAUGACAUCAUCCUUGCCAGAACCUAUGGGCAGCGAUUGUGAACUUGGACAUCACCCGAGAGCCAGGCACAUGCUAACUGCCAAGCAAAGAAUCCAGCAGAUAAAAAAUGGAGGAAAUAAAUGUGAUGUAAAACAAA